AUUGAACGCUGGCGGCAGGCCUAACUCAUGCAAGUCGAGCGAGCGGCGGACGGGUGAGUAAUGAAUGGGGAUUGCCCGAUAGACGGGGAUAACUACUGGACACGGUUGCUAAUCCCGCAUACUGUCGUAUAACCCCUAUGGGAUUACAUAGUAGGUAAGGUAAUGGCUUACCUAGGCGACGAUCCCUAGCUGGUCUGAGAGGAUGAUCAGCCACACUGUGACUGAGACACGGCCCAGACUCCUACGGAGGCAGCAGUGGGGAAUAUUGCACAAUGGGCGCAAGCCUGAUGCAGCCAUGCCGCGUGUAUGAAGAAGGCCCUAGGGUUGUAAAGUACUUUCAGUCGGGAGGCGUUACCGACAGAAGAAGCACCGGCUAACUCCGUGCCAGCAGCCGCGGUAAUAC
rnacentral:rRNA from 1 species